rnacentral:rRNA from 1 species
UGACCUGAGUUCAGGCAAGAUCACCCGCUGAACUUAAGCAUAUCAAUAAGCGGAGGAAAAGAAACUAACCAGGAUUCCCCUAGUAACGGCGAGCGAACCGGGAACAGCCCAAGCCGAGAAUCUUUGGCGAUCGCGCCAGAGAAUUGUGGUCUAUCGAGGCGGCUUCUGCGGGAGUCGGCGCCCAAGUCUCCUGGAAGGGAGGGUCCGAGAGGGUGAGAACCCCGUCGGCGCCGAACCACCCCGCUCCACGAACCGCCUUCGGAGAGUCUUGUUGUUUGGGAAUGCAGCAAAAAGAGG